GAUGAACGCUGGCGGCGUGCCUAAUACAUGCAAGUCGAGCGAACAGACGAGGAGCUUGCUCCUCUGACGUUAGCGGCGGACGGGUGAGUAACACGUGGAUAACCUACCUAUAAGACUGGGAUAACUUCGGGAAACCGGAGCUAAUACCGGAUAAUAUAUUGAACCGCAUGGUUCAAUAGUGAAAGACGGUUUUGCUGUCACUUAUAGAUGGAUCCGCGCCGCAUUAUCUAGUUGGUAAGGUAACGGCUUACCAAGGCAACGAUGCGUACCCGACCUGAGAGGAUGCAGGGGAAAAUUGUGAGUGAGACAAGGCCCAGAAUGAGACGGGAGGCAGCAGUGGGGAAUUUUCCGAUAUGGACGAAAGGCUGAUGAAGCACGGCCGCGUGAGAGAUAAAGGCCUGAGGGUUGUAAAGCUCUGUUAAUCGGGACGAAAGGCCUUCUUCCGAAUAGUGAGCAGGAUUGACGGGACCGGAAUAGAAAGCCACGGCUAACUACGGG
rnacentral:rRNA from 1 species